rnacentral:rRNA from 1 species
UACGUAGGGUGCAAGCGUUAAUCGGAAUUACUGGGCGUAAAGCGUGCGCAGGCGGUUGUGUAAGACAGAUGUGAAAUCCCCGGGCUCAACCUGGGAACUGCAUUUGUGACUGCACAGCUGGAGUGCGGCAGAGGGGGAUGGAAUUCCGCGUGUAGCAGUGAAAUGCGUAGAUAUGCGGAGGAACACCGAUGGCGAAGGCAAUCCCCUGGGCCUGCACUGACGCUCAUGCACGAAAGCGUGGGGGGCAAACAGG